UACGUAGGGUGCAAGCGUUAAUCGGAAUUACUGGGCGUAAAGCGUGCGCAGGCGGUUCGCUAAGACAGAUGUGAAAUCCCCGGGCUUAACCUGGGAACUGCAUUUGUGACUGGCGGGCUAGAGUAUGGCAGAGGGGGGUAGAAUUCCACGUGUAGCAGUGAAAUGCGUAGAGAUGUGGAGGAAUACCGAUGGCGAAGGCAGCCCCCUGGGUCAAUACUGACGCUCAUGCACGAAAGCGUGGGGAGCAAACAGG
rnacentral:rRNA from 1 species